UACGUAGGGUGCGAGCGUUGUCCGGAUUUAUUGGGCGUAAAGAGCUCGUAGGCGGUUUGUCGCGUCGGCCGUGAAAUCUCCACGCUUAACGUGGAGCGUGCGGUCGAUACGGGCAGACUUGAGUUCGGUAGGGGAGACUGGAAUUCCUGGUGUAGCGGUGAAAUGCGCAGAUAUCAGGAGGAACACCGGUGGCGAAGGCGGGUCUCUGGGCCGAUACUGACGCUGAGGAGCGAAAGCAUGGGGAGCGAACAGG
rnacentral:rRNA from 1 species